AAACUAUGAUGUGGACAACUCCUCAAUAAAUCCUUGAAACAUUCUCAACAAUCGUAAAUAGUGUCAUUCUCUUACUGAAGAAACCCUGCUAUAUCAUUCCUCAACUU
rfam:Ricinus communis cultivar Hale ctg_1100012362822, whole genome shotgun sequence.